UUUAGGUAAUUCUGAUACAUUGUCAAAGUUGACAAAGAUACGUAAGAUGCAGGAAGACUUGACAUUAAGACAUUUUGAAAUUGAUCAAAUGAGAAUUAGUCAAGAGAAUUCGGGUAAAGAUUAUCAAGUAGAAGCAUCUCUUAAUGAACUGACACAAACAUUAGAGAAACUUGGCAAUGAAAUACAGUCAUUGCAUUCAUGAAAAUGACAUGUCUCAUUUAAUUGUUUAUUUUUUGCUUUUGAUGACAUUAUAGUAAAGUUGAUAUAACUUUGUUGUAUCCAUCAUGUACAAUAUAUCAGUAAAUGUUAUUAUUCAAUAUUCACUAGCUAUUAUUCUCCUAUUGGGCUUUGGCAAGGAGGCUGACCUAGUCCAUGCACAUUGGUUUGUCUUUAACCUAGCGUGAGAGGCUUAUAGUCUUAAGCUGACUAGUUUGAUUUCCAUUGAGCGGAUGAAAGAGCUGGUGGAAUGUGGCUACUGGCUAUGGCAUAAUGAUUAAUAUUAGAUUUGUAUCACGUGAUGUAAUCUAAUACUUUGCGCCCAUGGGCCCACCUCAAAGCAGUAACAAGAGUCGAGAAUUCGACAUCAACAUUGUUUCAACAAUUCAACUGUCACCUAGAUGGCCAGCUUUGGCGCCAUUUCUAUUCUGUAUGGAAGAACUUUAAAUAUUGGAGAUCUUGACGAAGUUAUUGCAUUACUCGAGAGGCAUAAUUACAGCAAAGCAUCGUAUAAUCGACUUGGCCUACGUCUUAAAAUAUCUCAAAA